AACGAACGCUGGCGGCAUGCCUAACACAUGCAAGUCGAACGAGACCUUCGGGUCUAGUGGCGCACGGGGGCGUAACGCGUGGGAACCUGCCCUUAGGUUCGGAAUAACUCCCCGAAAGGGGUGCUAAUACCGGAGAAGGUCUUCGGACCAAAGAUUUAUGGCCUUAGGAUGGGCCCGCGUUGGAUUAGCUAGUUGGUAGGGUAAAAGCAUACCAAGGCGACGAUCCAGAGCUGGUCGGAGAGGAUGAUCAGCCACACUGGGACUGCGACACGGCCCAGACUCCUACGGGAGGCAGCAGUGGGGAAUAUUGGACAAGGGGGGAAAGUCUGAUACAGCAAUGCCGCGUGAGUGAUGAAGGCCCUAGGGUUGUAAAGCUCUUUUACCCGGAAUGAUAAUGACGGUACCGGGAGAAUAAGCACCGGCUAACUCCGUG
rnacentral:rRNA from 1 species